rnacentral:rRNA from 1 species
CUGGCUCAGGACGAACGCUGGCGGCGUGCUUCAUACAUGCAAGUCGAACGAGAAGCUGACUUCGGUCAGUGGAAAGUGGCGGACGGGUGAGUAAUAUGUAGGAAAUCUGCCCUAGAGAGGGGGACAACAGAGGGAAACUUCUGCUAAUACCCCAUAUGAGCUUAGUUGAAAUACUAAUCUUGAAAACUCCGGUGCUCUAGGAUGAGCCUGCAUCUGAUUAGCUAGUUGGCGGUGUAAUGGACCACCAAGGCGACGAUCAGUAGCUGGUUUGAGAGGAUGAUCAGCCACAAUGGGACUGAGACACGGCCCAUACUCCUACGGGAGGCAGCAGUAGGGAAUUUUGCGCAAUGGGCGAAAGCCCUGACGCAGCAACGCCGCGUGAACGAUUAAGCCCUUCGGGGUGUAAAGUUCUGUCAGUAGGGACGAAACUUGACGGUACCUACAGAGGAAGCACCGGCUAACUCCGUGCCAGCCGCAGC